AGCCCCUCGGUGCAGAAAGAGAUGCCUGCUGGUUCCUGAGAGAGGCCCACCGUCGGGUCGGGCAGCUGUUACCGUCGGUCCUCUGCAGUUUGGGAACUACGGACCUGUAUUCCAGCCCACUGAUUCUUCCCCCAGCUGAGACUAGUUGACGGUUGAGCUCAUCCAAGGGGACUACAAUUACUCUGAGCAACACAGAUGCAACCUUGUGGAUGAAUCCCCCACCAGCUUGAGAGAUCUGACCCGGA